AUUUGUUAAGCACUGUAUAUCUACUUAUAUGAUGCUGUUUUAGUUAAGUUUCAUCUAUUUAAACAUAAAAGUUGAGUAUUUUCUGUGAGUUUUCAUACUUGUAAAGGCUCCCAUGAGGUCUGAUGGGGAACAAUUUAAAACACAAAGCUCAAAUAUUUGCUCACUCAGAUAUUUUUUGUAAGGAAAAACAACUGCAUAUAUCCAGGACUGCAGUAAGUUAGCAUGGUAAUGAGGGGAAUGUCUUUGCCCACAGAGAGUGCAAAAGUUUACAAAAAUUAUAAGGGACUCACAGGAGUUUUAUGUAUUUCCAUUUAAUGAUUUUCCAUUCUGUAACUCCUCUACAAAUCUUACUGAAUCUUUAUUGUAUGCACAGCAUGUACAGCAAAUAAAACAGGUACACAAUAUACGUAGCCAAAUGUAAUGCAACACAUCGCAAUGCAAAGCAAAGCACUGUGUAAUGUAACAACAAGGAACAUCACAAAAUACAACUUAACAACAUUGCAUUGCAUAUUGCAAGAGCAAAUUACAUAGCAUAGUACAAUGUAAUGUGACCUAUGUAAUGUAACGUAGUGUAGCUUAACGUAGCCUAAUGUAGCAUACCUUAGCAUAACAUAGCAUAGUGUAAUGGAGGAUAGCAUAAUGUAGCAUAGCGUAAUGAAGCAUAGCGUAACGUCGCAUGGUCUAAUGUAGCAUAGCAUAUCGUAGCAUAGCGUAACAAAAAGAAACAUCAAAAAAUGCAACUUAACAACAUUGCAUGCAUAUUGUAACAUUAAAUUACAAAGUAUAGUGUAGCAUAACAUAGGGUAACUUAGCAUAACUAAGCAUAGUGUAAUGUAUUAUAGUGUAUCCAAAAGGAACACUUCAAAACUUGCAACUUAACGUUGCAUUAAAUAUUGUAACUUAAAUACCAUUGCAUAGUAUAAGAUAAUGUAAUAUAUAUAUAUACACAACACAGCACAAUGUAGCAUAACAUAGCAUAAUGUAUGAUGGCGUAACAAACCGAAACAAAAACGAACAUCUCAAAAUGCAACUUACCGUUGCAUUUCAUAUUUAAACAUUAAAUAACAUAGCUUAGUAUAACAUAAUGUAACAAACAAUCAUAACACAACAUAACGUAGCUAAACGUAGCGUAACAUUACAUUAUAUAUUGUUAAAUCAAAUAGCAAAGUACAGUGUAAUGUAACGCAAUAUAGCAUAACGUUGCGUAACGUAGCAUAGCCUAACAAAAAGGAACAUCUGAAAAUGCAGUUUUACAUUGCGUUGCAUACUGUAACAUUAAAUAACAUAGCAUAGUACAAUGUAAUAUAACCUAAUGUUAAAUAAUGCAGAGUAACUUAGCAUAACGUAGCCUAAUGUUGCAUAACGUAGCAAAAUGUAGCAUAACGUAGCAAGACUUAGCAUAACAUAUCAUAGUGUAACAAAAAAGGGGACAUCUCAAAAUGCAAUAUUGCACAUUCUAACACUGAAUAACAUAGCAUAGUGUAAUGUUGUGUAACAUAAUGUGACAUGAUGUAAUGUAACAUAACGUUACAAAGCACAGCUUAGCAUAGCAUUGCAGGGCUGAUUGUGGCCUGGGCAAGAUACUUAACCCCAAUUUGCUCCCAUUGCUGUGUCAGUGGUGUGUAAAUGCGUAUUGCAUCUACGUAUUAGUAAAUACUGAUGGUCACCCAACAUAGCUGCCUUCCCAAUUAGUGUGUGAAUUAAUAUAGUAUGCAGAAAUAGACCAAACUGUACCAUGGAGUGCUGAAAUAUACAGCUCCAUCUGGACAAAACCGUUCCUCCUACUUCUGUCUUGACUUUGUCCUGCACAUAUACAUUUUUGUUUCCAUAAGUCUGUUUCACAGCCAGCUUAAAACUCCCUCUGAGCAGAUAUAUUUGAUUGCUAAUACUUUUAUUUGAAACUGCAUAUUUCUAACUUGUAACAGAGUAUAUGUAACACUGUAGUAUUACUUCUUUGUGUUUAGUUGAACAUCUGUUCUUCUUCCACUUUUCUAAGGUACAAGUUUGCCGUUUCUUCUAGAGGUUGUAGAGAGACGUGAGAGAGUGCUGUUGAUUAUUAACAGUCACAUACUGUAAGCACACAGCCUCAACCUAACAGUCAUUAUAGAUGGACACAAAAAUCAAUGAUUUUUUCCACGGCUGAGAUCAGUUCUGACAGUUGGAGAAGAAGACUUCCAAUCAAGUAAUUAAGCAUUCACACCCCUCAGGCUUUGGUUACUGUACGCCUUAUGUAGCAUCUGUCUGUGUGUGUUUGCAUGCUAAGUAACCCUGAAGACUCUGCAAAACACAAACGGGUCAUCAAAGUGGAAGGAACCAUCAGAAUCAGCCAAUCAGGAGCGCUAAAACCCGACCACACCGGGACGCACAGAGCCCCAAACGAGCCAAUGAAUAAAUCAGAAGGCCUAAGUUGCCGGGCGGACUUUACAAUACAGAAUAGAAGGGCGCUAAUGGGUGUGGGCGACACACAUACACUUUGCAUUUGGUUGUUAACCACAAUGUGGGGACAAAUGGGGAUGGAGGGAAGGAAAAGGGGGUGAGAAAAGGGUGAGGCGACUCUUUGCAUGACUUCUUCGUUAACCACAGCACCAAAGGGACCCUGCCUCUCCUCGCACAGGACACCUGUCCCACCAGACUUUACAGACACGCAGCCGCCGUCUUGCCCAUUAAGGCUGAGGCGAACCAGUGCGGUCUGGAGAAAAACGGGACAGGAACUGGGGAAAAGCUGCAGAUGAUCAAGGGCGCCAUCGAUCGGCAGAUGGCUGUUCGCUGUUGGCGGUUUCUCAAAACUUCGUAGGAGGUUAGAGUCAGCGGGGAAGUGUAGCGAAACAAGGAGGGCGACUGAAAAUAGAGAUGGAUGACGCCAUUCUUUAAAACCCACCCCAUACGUUUCUAUAGCUUUCUACUCUGUGUAUAGCACAUUGUUUCUUCGAGAAUUUCAAGAAAACAAUCAAAGCUCCACCCUGACUUCCAACCAAAACACAACCACUGACUCUACUUUGGUUACUCAGGGAGGGUUUGGCAUUGACCAAAGUUGCUGAAGAGCUCGUAUUGGUUGCACACUGUGGUGAGGUUGAGCUCUACCAUUAAUCUGGUCUGUGGCCUCUCUGGUGGUUCCCUUUAGCACACACAAACACAGUCAUCCAAACAUUUGCUGAGCUAAUUUCAAGAUAAAGACAGACUAGUAUGUGGUCUAUGGCUGAACCAGCUGAUCCCGCACAAUCAUGUUUCAGUAAGACAUGAGGAAACAUUUACAUGGAGACUGGGAUAUCCCAUAGUAUGUCUGACUGACUGCAGAAAAUGGUUCAUUUGCUAUUAGUCUGUGUGGCAUACAGAUCAUAAAGAUAAAAACAUCCACUAUCUCAAAAUAUUAGAAUAUUGUUCAAAAGUCCAAUUUCUCAUCAGUUAUUUAUCUCACUUAGUUUCAGUACACACAACCACAGUCAUGGGGAAGACUGCUGACUUGUCACCCUCCACAAGGAGGGUAAGCCACAGAAGGUCACUGCUGACAGGGCAGGCUGUUCUUAGAGGCUGUGUCAAAGCAGAUUCAUGGAAAGUUGACUGGAAAGGAAAAGUGUGCUAAGAAAAAGAGCACAAGCAUCAGGGAUGAGGUCAACCGUCAGAUGAUUGACAAAAGACGAAAGUUCAAGAACAAAAGCCACCACACAGACUGGUCCAGGAAAUUGGCUACAGUUGUGUUCCAAGAGGGGCACAGAAUCCAAGGUGAUUGAAGCCCAGUGUUUCCAGUUCCCACAGUCAGCGAUGGUUUGGGUUCCAUGUCAUCUGCUGGUGUUUGUCCUCUGUGCUCUAUCGAGUCCAGAGUCAAUGCUGUCAGCCGUCUACCAGGGGAUUUAAGAGCACUUAUCUCUGAGGUUGUCAAGAGGAAGAUGAGAGACACCAAACUCAACGACACAGCUGAAGGCUGCUAUCAGAGCAACCUGGGCUUCACAACACCCCAGCAAUGCCACGGACUGAUUGGCUCUAUGCCACAUCACAUAGAUGCAGUAAUUCAUGAAGAAGGAGCUCCAACCAAGUACUGACAGCAUAAAUAAAUAUCCAUACAAAACCGUGGUCUUCAGCAACCCCCUGGGAAUGUAUGACAUCAUCAUGACAUCAUAUGCAACAGCUGAAGGAAACACAGGUAGGACCCUUGACAGUGUAAAGUUUGGACAGCAUGAUCAAUGAGCUAAAUAGCACCCUUCUUUUCCAGUGUUUGACAGUUUGACUGAUAUUAUGCAUAUUUUUGCAUGUGAAGCUCCCCAGAGCAGGUUGAUGUUACAGAACAGUGAAGCGAUUAAACAGCCGAUUGGAAGGAAGCGAGAGAGGAGAGAGAGCGGCGAGGGAGGAGACGGAGGAGGAGAGAUGAAAAGGAAGAGAGGAAAUGAAGGGAUCUUUAUUGGAGCGCCGUCUUCCUGCUGCAGCUGACGGAGUGGGACAGAGGGAGGAGAACGCUGCAAAAAAUGAUGCUAAGAUUGCACACAAAGAAAUCAACUACAAAAUGUGACAUUUAAGGCACUUUAUUCUCUUUAUUUUGACCAUGAUUUGCUUACAAAUACAUGACACAUAUUACAAUUUAUUUUUUAAUUGACAACAUUUCUGAACCAUUAUAACUUUUAACAGUGGAUGUUGAUUUUUUUUGGGUGAUAAAAUGCUUAAUUCACAAUGCAUAAUGAGGUCAAACUAUAAUUUAUUUUCAUGCACUAUGAACUGCUGCCUCUCUAACAUUUAUGUAUCAAUCCACCUGUGAAAAUAGUCCCCUCCCCAACAAAAAAGUUGCAUUGAAAUCAUUCAGCUUUUAUUAGUAAAUGCUAUUGAAUCAUAAUGUGGGGAUCCAUUAUAAAAAGCAUGAGGUAAAUGUUGAUAUCUUUUGCAGUGGAAGGUGCCGAGAUCAAACAGCAGAGGCCGGUUGUGUGAUGUGUGGCCAGAUCGCCACAUGGGAGCCUCUGUGUGUGCGUAGGUGUGUGUUCUGCAUGCCUGUGUGUCUAUACAUGUACGUGUCUGUGAAGAGUGAGAGCAAAAAGAAGGACAGAUUCGAGAUGAAUCCAUAGAAGGCUUUCUGUGCUUAUUCCCAGGCUUCAGAGAGGCAGAGAUCACAGCUGGACAAAUGACCCACAACACAGAGAAAGAGAGAGAGGAGGGAUACCACAGGGUUGAAUAAAAGAAAUCAUUACAAGAGCACUAGAAAUAAAUGAAAGACAGGAUUUAUGAGCCUGUGGGUGUGUAUGGGCAUUUGAGUGUUGCUCUGAAGUGCUGAAUCAUGAUGAUGAUUUUAGCAGACUCACCAAGACUGAAGUUUAAAGCUGUGGAAGAGCAGGAAAGCAGGGGGGAACACACAGGAAAAAUAGUGUCGGACAUAUGAAAAUCUAUUCUCCAACUUUUUCCUCUAUCAACUAGCAGAAAUAGAUUAUGAUCCCUCAGGAAAUACAACACAAAGAAAGGAAAAAUGACACUGUGUGUAUUUCUUACACUGCUAAUGAUAGACAUUCAUGGUCUCCAGAAGAUGAUUCCUGAUUAUUUGGAUGACUGUUCAGACCUUUCCUCAAAACAAAAGUUUCCUUUUCUAAUAAUUUAUAGAAAGUCAACAUACAAUCUCUUCAUCUCCUAAAAAAUGAUUUUAUACAGUCCUGCUCUCCAGAGGAUUAACCAUUUAAAUUUCAGGAGCUUGAGUUUGAACUUUUCUUCUAGUCAGACAUGUAAUUAAAACUAUGAGACACAAAGAUGUAAAACUCAAAAGCAAUGCUUUGAUGACCUAAAUCUACACAACCAUGCUCAGUCACACUCCCAAGAGGAUAAACCCUCUCAGUUUUGGAGGUCUAACCUCUCGUUAGACCUCUGAUUUAAAGGAUGAGACACUAAGACUGAAAAUCUAAUAAGAUAACUUAUUUCACUUAAAUCCUCGCAAUCAAAGAUUUUAAAUCUUAUGGUUAGGUUUCUAUGACUUGAAUAAACAUGAUCAUUUUCACCAGAGGGUAAACUUUCCCAGGUUUAGAAACCUUGUAAACUGUUCUUUAUCGACACCCAAAACUUUAACUUUCAGACACAGUCAUGCUCCAAAGAAGACUAGUUCUGUUAUUACACACAAAGAUAAAAAAUCUUAGGGCCUGAAUCUGCACAAUCAUGCACAGUAGAACUCCCCUGAGGUUAAACCCUCCCAGUUUGGAAACCCUGUGACCUUGCUUCCACUGGGACCUCCAACUAAAAUGAUCAGACUCAAAGACUGUAAAUCUAAUAAGACAAAUUCUGCUACUUGAAUCUGCACAAACAAACAGACUUAAUUCCUUAUGUUUAUGUUUUAUAUGGCUGAAAUCUGCAGUCAUUUUCACCAGAGGAUAAACUCUCCCAGGGUUUGAGACUAUCUAAGCCAUCCUCUAAAGACACCUUAAACUUAGAUUAUCAGACACAAAGAACCUAAAACUUUAUGUUAAGGCUUCAGGGAUCUAAAUCUGGACUUUCAUGCUCCUCAGAGGAUGAACCCCAGGGUUUUAGAACUCAUAUGAACUUCCUGCUCGUAAAUCCGUAGAUCAUUUUUCUCUAAAAGAAACCUCAGAGCCUUUAGUUAAGUUUUCCAUGACUUGAACCUGCACAGUCAUGCUCCCAAAAAGACAGACCUUCUUUGUUUUAGAAAACCCACACAUUCCUUUUGCUAGACCUAAAAUUAAAGGUAUAACAGCUUGAGGUUUAAUUCCUUAUGGAAGACUUCUAUAACUUGAUUCUGCAUGGUCAUUUUCACCAGAGGAUAAACUUUCUCUGUUUUGGAAACUCUGUAAGCUAUCCUUUAUGCACUCCUUACAUUCAAAUGAUCAGGCAUAAAGACUUUGAAACAUUAUGAUAAGGCUUCUGUGUCCUGAAUUUGCUCAUUCAUGCUCCCUAGAUGAUGAACCCUGUGGUCUUAGAAACUAUGCGAACUUCCUACUUGUAGGGCCUUCAAUUAAUAGUUAUCAGACACAUUGAUAUUACGGCAAGGCUUCUCUGACCUGAAUCAGCAUGAUUAUGCACAGUCAAACUCCCCAGAGGAUGAACCCUUUCAUUGUUGGAAACCUAUGAACUUGUCCAUAGUAAGACCUUUAAGAGGAUCAGACACAAUUUCCUCCGUUGCAGUAGAUUACUGCUUUAGUGCCUGUCUUUAUUCAGGAAUCACCAACUGAAAAUCUCCUUGGAAAGGUCACAAGUGGACAUAGAAACAUGAUCAGAUAUUGCUUGUAAGUGCAUAUGAGGUAAAAUCUUCCUUAUGUGUGCUGCUACAGUGGGAAAGCAAAUAAAUCAUAUUAGGAAAACUGAUGAUGCAAUCUGCAGCUUGAAACAAUUUACUUUUGGUUUCUGCAUCAACAGCUUCUGACCUUUUUUUUUUAAGUUUAAUUGAUUAACUGUGCCUCUUCCUUCCUCUUAGCCAAUGUGGUGUGACUAAUGUGAGAAUUACCUAAAACAUUAAGACAGUGCAAAUAAAAAUGAGCAUAACAGAGCAUAAAAUUGAUUUCUUGUCAAUGAUUUCCCGCUGUUUUUUUUCUACCUUCACAAACAAGAAGCAGCUAAUUGGAAAAGUUUGUACCAAAUUAUGCCUGAACACCAGCUGGACCAUCUGAUGACAGGCGUGUCAGCUCUGCUCUGCACUUUGAACACAGUGACCGGCUGAGUAACAGUCGUCCUCGCAGUAAACUGAGGGAAGGAGAAGGAGGGGUUUCUGGUAAAACAACUCUACUAAUUUCUCAUAAGUCCUUCCUUCCUCUCUUUCAUCUGUCCCUUUUUCCAUCUCUUUGUCACUGACUAACUAACAUCAGCAGCAUGCAGGCUUGAGAACACAUUUUUACGUCUUUGAAAGCAAAUGUGCAUGUGGGAAUCAGAUGGCAGAGCAGAGGCAUCACAAUACACAGUUUAUUCUUUUCAAAUGGACUACUAAAUGAAUUCACGCUCUGAGGGAGAGAAAAAUGACCUCUUGUAAGAUGCACACUUAGUUUGCCACAAAAGUAUGUUGAUUUUAUGAUUGCAAUCCAAUGCAAAAACUAUUUGACUACAACAGGAGUAGAAACAUGACAUGACUGGUUAUUAUUUAGUUUCAAAUUCAGUAAUUUUUACCUUGGUGUCUACAGAUUUAUUAUUAGUUGGAUUACACUAUAAAAUGAGACGUUCAGGCACAAAAUCAAUUAUGUGACAUUUCUGAUCCACAAUAUAAUUCUUAACAGCUCUUCAGAGUAUCCUGGUUGGGACACCUGACAUGGCUGUCCAGGCUUCUCAAACGGCAACAACCACUGUAUAUGUCAGUAAGUAUGAGCACACAACUUUUACUGUAAUUCAAAUGAAGUAUAGAUAUUUUAUUUUGCAUGGCACUCAUAUGACUGGCGUUUGAAUUAAUAGAAGCACAUUCUUCCGUGAUGUCCCUGAAGUAACCAUUGAGAGAAAGAAACGGAGGUAACGGAAACUCAAACUAUUUCAUGGUUUGACGUUGGAGAAGACCAAGGUCAGAGUAGCAGCGCAACAAAGACUUGAUGCAAAGACAGUUGGAUCUGUUUGAAAGUUAAAUUCUAAAAAAAAUAUCAUGAAAAAUGCUGGAAAUUGUCGAAUUUUUACGAGCCUGUUGAUGACGCAGCUUUAGCUAGUAGCGCUAUGCUAGCCUUAGCAGCCUGAACCGUUAAGUCAUAAACCGCCAGGACUACUCUUCAGGAAUGUCAGACCCUGACUCCAGGAGACAAGUAUGUCUAAAUGGGAGCAGUAUUCCAAGAAGAGACCGGUGAAUGAGCAGUGAGAGUUGACUUGUGACCGAAACUUGCUUUUUUUUAAGGAGAGCUUGGGAGCCCGAGCUCAGAGCGGAUUAGCAGGUAGCUUCAGAGGAUGCUAAUGAUUACCUCAUUAUUCUAAAACUUGACAGGGAGUGUUUUUCACUAUUUUUUCUACAUAGGUCAUAACUCAGAAGUCCAAACUGAGGGCAUUAUGCAAUAAAAAGAAGAUGACCAGUUGGGCGAAGUUAAAGAUGCAGCCUGUUUAACUACAUGAAGGGCUAAUUUGGAACUAGAAUUUUCAAAAAGGGCGCUGUAUGAAGUGGACUCAGCCGUGCAACCAAUCAACAAUUUCAGACACUAGCCAGGUUCUUAUUCAUCCAGGCCAUGGUCAUCCAAAGCUUGAUCCAAGAACUGAACUGAAGAAGCCUUUGGAGGAGAGGCGAAGGACCUUAGUCAGGAGGCUGAACAACUGGGACUCCAUGUUUCCUGGGUCAAAACAAAGAACUAGGCAUUCUGGGACACCUUGGAUGCUGCUAUCAAAUCUGUGUCUGUGAAUGGUGACAGCAUGGAAGUGGGGAGCAGUUCACCUAUCUUCGCAGUGUAAUCUCAAUCCUUAACUGCCAGACUGAGGCUUGCGCAAGAAGCAAUGGGUUCACUGAGUAAGGCAGUGUGGGUGCUUUACAUUAGUCUCGAUUGACUUGAGCCUCAUUCCUCCCUUCUUUCACAAUAGCAACAUCAAUGUGUGCCCAGUCCCACAUGUGUAUGUACUCAGUCUGAUACAACAGUUGGCAUUAUGCAUAUAGCUGGUUUGCAAACCUGCAAAGGAGGAGAAAGAAGAAGAAGCUACCAUGGGAGCGACUUGGGUCAUGACCUGAGCAAAGAUUGUUAAUGUUUUAACCCGGCAAAAAGGUCAAAAAGGGUUAAAUGGGCUCGCACUAAAUGGAUAUAGUGGUUUCUGAGGUGACAGGACACUUCUAUUGCCUUUGCAUCUCGUCUCCCUGACUCCAAAUUGUGUUCAUUCAUAAGAUGACUCAUAAUGGACAGUUUGUUGACAAAAUUCUGAUGCUUUCCAAUUUACAAUGAGGAAAAUGUGAACAAACUGCUGCACUGGGAAAAGAAGUUUUUAAGAUGACAUCAUAACUGAUGUGGCUGUGUCCCAUAUCUGGGUGCGAUUGCAUUCACAUUUCCUCCCCAUGUGGGCCUGGACUAGGGCACGGUGCGUUUGCAUUCACACUGAGCAAAACCAACCAGACUUUGAGCUCAAGUGUACUUAGAUCCAGGACCGUGCUUGAAGUGUGAAGCCACCUGAGUCUUUUGGUCCUUGGAUGCUGACUGAUGGCAAAAGGCACCAGCUUGACUUUUAAAGACGGCUUUUCUUUUGGCAAAUUUUUGGGUAUCGUUGGCAAGAUCAUGGCACCUGGAGUGCUUCCCUGGGUCCCAUCCAGCCCAUUGCAUACUGGGUACCCAAGACUGGACACCAACACACUUCUGUGUGAGAAUCCAAAGACUCUACCUUCCCUGAAAAGAUGAGGUCUGCAAACAAUGCCUCGUGAUGCAACAUCAGUGACCUUACAGGACCUGGAAAAGGUCUCUGCUGGUUGGAAGGGAAACAACCACAAACAUGUGGACCACACUGGACUGACGAAUGAAAGCUCCUUGUUUGCUCAUGCCGACCUUUUCCUCUCUUUCUCCGUCAGGACGAAGCAGAGAGAAAGAUGGAAGAAAGUCACCCAUGAACCAAACUUGUCAGGAGCCUUAAGGAAGUCCUGUAGAAACGUAAUCUGAAUAACAACAUUAGUCUUGAACUAUAAACACAACAAAACAACACUCGCUGUUGAUGUUAGCGGUUGUUAGUGUGAUUCUCUUCGUAGCUGAGUGGAUAACUGGGGCCAGCUCACAGCUGCCUGCUUCACCUGUGCCUGCUUACCUUGCUCACACUUGUGGAGAUCAACAUAAAACUUCUUAAUUCUGAUGUUGUACCUUUUUUUUAGAUAAAAAGUGCAGAAUAAAACCCUGAAAUUUCAGUAUCCUGUGCAACCCUGUUAAGGAAAGAAGGCUAACUAACCUUAGCUACAUCCCCCUCUAGUGGUGUGUUGCUGUGUUACAGCUAAGACACAACAUUGAACCAGUAUCCAGGGAGUU